UCUAUAUUCCUGCUAGUAAUCAUAAUCCUUUUUAAAUUAUAUGGCUCCAAUGCAUGCAGUAAGUAAUGUCCCUUUCAUUGCAAUGUAUAUUAAAGCCAGUUACAACACCUUAUUGUGAAGCAAAGUUAAUAGCUGUAACUGGUAGCAAUAUUUCAGCCUCUUGCCAGCUUAUAGGUGAUAAAAUAUUAAUUCUUAUGUCUGUCACAAAGAAUUGUAACUCCUGAGCCGUCACACUUACCAAGCAUCAUAAAUUACUAAAUAUUUAAUCAAAAAUGAUGUAGCAAAUCGGUGUUGUCAUGGGAGUUUUCUUAGUCGUCACAUUACUUGUCAAUAUUGCCCUUAGCUGGAAGCAUACUUGCUUCUCCUAAAGAAACCAAGAAGUUCCACACCUGGACAUGUGCAAUCCAUAGCACAACACAGUUGCCAGUGAACCAUAAACCAUGGGUAUGUGUGCAUUGCAGGGGUCAGUGGAGAGACACCAUUAAGCUGCUCAGGCAGCUGCUUUUGAAUUGCCACAAAAGACAACCUAACACAUUGCAGAAAACUGGAAUUGUUGGUGGUUUACCUUAAUAUGACAGGCUGCAAACUGCUGUGGUUCAUUAUUUCAAAAGCAGCUGAGCAGCCCCAGCAGCUGGCUGGGAACCGACAGAAGGAAGGAGAGACAGGUAAAGCUCAAAGCCUUUGACAUGGAAGAUGACCAGAAGCCAAGAGGAUGCCUGGGACUGUUACACUUUUUUGGAAAGGGAAAUAAAAUCCCUCUUGGUCCUGUCCUACUCUUACUGAACUCAGAUGACAAAAUUCCCACUGGCUUCAUGGGAAACAGAACCAGAGCCUAUUUUAUGAGACAAGUAAGUGUGUUGUAUUGAAGUUUCAUGAUUCAUUUUCAAAUGUAACUUUAAAAAUUAGUUCUGCUAUUUCAGAUUUUAAACUUGUAUAAGCACUCAGGAAGUUCAUAAGAAGUGAUUAUUGAAAAGACUUGGAUAUGGAGAAUAAAAUAAUUCAAUGAUUAUGUAAUUUCA
rnacentral:lncRNA from 14 species